GAUGAGAACGUAGCGAAAUGCGAUAAGUAAUGUGAAUUGCAGAAUUCAGUGAAUCAUCGAAUCUUUGAACGCACAUUGCGCCCUUUGGUAUUCCUUAGGGCAUGCCUGUUCGAGCGUCAUUUGAAACCUCAAGCUCAGCUUGGUGUUGGGUGUCUGUCCCCGCCUCACCGCGGGGACUCGCCUCAAAAUCAUUGGCGGCCGGUACGUUGGCUUCGAGCGCAGCAGAAACGCGAACUCGAGGCCCGGCGGAUCGGCGACCAGAAGUCACUUCUUCACAGUUUGACCUCGGAUCAGGUAGGGAUACCCGCUGAACUUAAGCAUAUCAAUAAGCGGAGGA
rnacentral:misc_RNA from 1 species